AGCGAACGCUGGCGGCAGGCCUAACACAUGCAAGUCGAACGAACCUUUCGGGGUUAGUGGCGGACGGGUGAGUAACACGUGGGAACGUGCCUUUAGGUUCGGAAUAACUCAGGGAAACUUGUGCUAAUACCGAAUGUGCCCUUCGGGGGAAAGAUUAAUCGCCUUUAGAGCGGCCCGCGUCUGAUUAGCUAGUUGGUUGAGGUAAUGGCUCACCAAGGCGACGAUCAGUAGCUGGUCUGAGAGGAUGAUCAGCCACAUUGGGACUGAGACACGGCCCAAACUCCUACGGGAGGCAGCAGUGGGGAAUCUUGCGCAAUGGGCGAAAGCCUGACGCAGCCAUGCCGCGUGAAUGAUGAAGGUCUUAGGAUUGUAAAAUUCUUUCACCGGGGACGAUAAUGACGGUACCCGGAGAAGAAGCCCCGGCUAACUUCAUG
rnacentral:rRNA from 1 species